GUCUUUUUGAUUAUAAUUGAAAGUCUGACCUGCCCAAUGAAUAUUUAAAUGGCCGCGGUAAUUUGACCGUGCAAAGGUAGCAUAAUCAUUAGUUUUUUAAUUGAAAGCUGGAAUGAACGGUUGGACGAGAAAAUAACUGUCUCGAUUUAAUUGAAUAUAGAAUUUUAUUUAUAAGUAAAAAAGCUUAUAUAAGUUUAAAAGACGAGAAGACCCUAUAGAAUUUAAUAUAAUAACAAAUUAUUUUGUUGAAGAAUCUAGAGAAAUUAAUUUUUUAUUAUAUUUUGUUGGGGUGAUGGAAAAAUUUAAAUAACUUUUUUUAUUAAUCAAUCAUUAAUGAAUGAAUAAAUGAUCCGUAAUUUACGAUUAUAAGAUUAAAUUACCUUAGGGAUAACAGCGUAAUUUUUUUUUAGAGUUCUAAUCGAAAAAAGAGUUUGCGACCUCGAUGUUGGAUUAAAAUUAACUUUUGGUGUAGGGGCUAGAGGGUUAGGUCUGUUCGACCUUUAAAAUUUUACAUGAUCUGAGU
rnacentral:rRNA from 1 species